GUGGUGUGGAAACUGGAAAAGUUCGGUGGGCAUUGAAUAAGCCAAGAGGAGUGGGAAAGCCUGCCCUGGGGGACCUCAGUGAGUGAGUUGGAGGCUGGAAAGCCAAGAGCAUUUCCUUAUCUGUGAAAUGAGGCCAGUAAUUGCACAUACUCCAUGGAGCUGCUGGGAGGAACUAAUGCAUGUUAUACAGCAGGAAAUUAGUGGCUUCCACACUGGACAGCCCAGAUCUAUGAUAUUUCCAUCACCAGAGAAAGUUCUAUUAGACAUUGCUGCUCUGGAGGCAGAAGCCUGAAGAUACAUGAGAACACAUGAGAAUAAUGAGGCAGGUUGUGAAAAGUUCUGUGACGUGCAUAAAGAGUGGCAAACCAUCAGCCUUAAGGACAAUAGCAGCAGCCACAGUCGCUUAUUGAUAAGAAAACUGAGGCUCGAGAGAUGAAGAAACAUUCACAGGGGAGUCUGAGGAUUUGAAAACUUUUUUUUUUUUGCUGCACCUCCUUGAAGGUUGUGGAAGAAAAACAUCAGGAGCCAGAUUUCCAUUUUCCCUUG